rnacentral:rRNA from 1 species
UACGUAGGGUGCGAGCGUUGUCCGGAAUUAUUGGGCGUAAAGAGCUCGUAGGCGGUUUGUCGCGUCGACUGUGAAAACCUACAGCUUAACUGUGGGCUUGCAGUCGAUACGGGCAGACUUGAGUUCGGUAGGGGAGACUGGAAUUCCUGGUGUAGCGGUGGAAUGCGCAGAUAUCAGGAGGAACACCGGUGGCGAAGGCGGGUCUCUGGGCCGAUACUGACGCUGAGAAGCGAAAGCGUGGGGAGCGAACAGG